rnacentral:rRNA from 1 species
GACGAGCCACACAAACGUUAUUCGGAAUUACUGGGCUUAAAGGGUGCGUAGGCGGUGCGGAAAGUUGGGUGUGAAAUCCCUCGGCUCAACCGAGGAAUUGCGCUCAAAACUACCGUGCUCGAGGGAGAUAGAGGAAUGCGGAACUUAGGGUGGAGCGGUGAAAUGCGUUGAUAUCCUAGGGAACACCGGUGGCGAAAGCGGCAUUCUGGAUCUCAUCUGACGCUGAUGCACGAAAGCUAGGGUAGCAAACGGGAUUAGAUACCCCGGUAGUCCUAGCCGUAAACGAUGAGCACUGGAUUGAAGGCCCCCUCAUAGGCUUUCAGUCGCAGAGAAAUUGUUUAGUGCUCCGCCUGGGGAGUAUGGUCGCAAGGCUGAA